UUUAGGAUAUCUAUAUAUAAUAUCAUGUCAUCUGCAAAUAGUAACAGUUUUAUUUCUUCCUUUCCAAUUUGAAUGCCUUUAAUUUAUUUUACUAGCCUAAUUCCUCUAGCUAGAACUUUCAAUACUAUGGUAAAUAAAGAUGGCAAAACUGGGCAACUUUGUCUUGUUCCUGAUCUUAGAGGAAAACUUCCUGAUUUUCACCAGUCAUUGGGCAUCUUAAGGGCUAUAACUCUGAACCCUUUAUCAGAACCCCAGGAUAAAUUUGAAGCACUUACUACAGAUGGAUGUGGUAGCAUUUGGACAGCAUGUGUACUGCAUUUGGAUGACAUGUGUACUUCCUUAAAUCUAGAUUGAGUGGUAUAUGACCUGUGCAAACUGAGGCACAUAAAAUUUUUUCAAGAGGUUAUUUGAAUA